rnacentral:rRNA from 1 species
UACGGGGGGGGCAAGCGUUGUUCGGAAUUACUGGGCGUAAAGGGCUCGUAGGUGGCCAACUAAGUCAGACGUGAAAUCCCUCGGCUUAACCGGGGAACUGCGUCUGAUACUGGAUGGCUUGAGAUUGGGAGAGGGAUGCGGAAUUCCAGGUGUAGCGGUGAAAUGCGUAGAUAUCUGGAGGAACACCGGUGGCGAAGGCGGCGUUCUGGACUGUAACUGACACUGAGGAACGAAAGCCAGGGGAGCAAACGGG